rnacentral:rRNA from 1 species
GUUAGGGAAGAACAAGUGCAAGAGUAACUGCUUGCACCUUGACGGUACCUAACCAGAAAGCCACGGCUAACUACGUGCCAGCAGCCGCGGUAAUACGUAGGUGGCAAGCGUUGUCCGGAAUUAUUGGGCGUAAAGGGCUCGCAGGCGGUUUCUUAAGUCUGAUGUGAAAAGCCCCCGGCUCAACCGGGGAGGGUCAUUGGAAACUGGGAAACUUGAGUGCAGAAGAGGAUGAGUGGAAUUCCACGUGUAGCGGUGAAAUGCGUAGAGAUGUGGAGGAACACCAGUGGCGAAGGCGACUCUCUGGUCUGUAACUGACGCUGAGGAGCGAAAGCGUGGGGAGCGAACAGGAUUAGAUGACCCUGGUAGUCCACGCCGUAAACGAUGAGUGCUAAGUGUUAGGGGGUUUCCGCCCCUUAGUGCUGCAGCUAACGCAU